GACGGGUAUCCGGCCUGAGAGGGUGAUCGGACACACUGGAACUGAAACACGGUCCAGACUCCUACGGGAGGCAGCAGUAGGGAAUAUUGCUCAAUGGGGGAAACCCUGAAGCAGCAACGCCGCGUGGAGGAUGAAGGU
rnacentral:rRNA from 1 species